rnacentral:rRNA from 1 species
AGUGAACGCUGGCGGUAGGCCUAACACAUGCAAGUCGAACGGCAGCACAGUAAGAGCUUGCUCUUACGGGUGGCGAGUGGCGGACGGGUGAGGAAUACAUCGGAAUCUACUUUUUCGUGGGGGCUAACGUAGGGAAACUUACGCUAAUACCGCAUACGACCUACGGGUGAAAGCAGGGGAUCUUCGGACCUUGCGCGAUUGAAUGAGCCGGUGUCGGGUUAGUUAGUUGGGGGGGUAAAGGCCCACCAAGGGGACGAUCCGUACCUGGUCUGGAAGGAUGAACGGCCACACUGGAACUAGAGAACGGUCCAAAACCCUCAGGGGGGGAGCAGGGGGGAACUUUGGACAAUGGGGGCAAGCCUACUCCAGCCAUACCCGGUGGGGGGAAAAGGCCUUGGGGUUUGAAAGCCCGUUUGUUGGGAAAAAAAACCUGCAGGCUAAUACCCCGCUGGUUUGACGGUACCCAAAGAAAAAGCCACGGCUAACUUCGUG